rnacentral:rRNA from 1 species
ACUGCUCAGUAACACGUGGACAACCUAACCUAAGGUGGGGGAUAACCCCGGGAAACUGGGGAUAAUACCCCAUAGGCUAUGAAUGCUGGAAUGCUUCGUAGUUGAAAGGUGAGCCGCCAUAGGAUGGGUCUGCGGCCGAUUAGGUUGUUGUUGGGGUAACGGCCCAACAAGCCUGUAAUCGGUACGGGUUGUGGGAGCAAGAGCCCGGAGAUGGAUUCUGAGACACGAAUCCAGGCCCUACGGGGCGCAGCAGGCGCGAAAACUUUACAAUGCGGGAAACCGUGAUAAGGGAACUCCGAGUGCCCGUUAAAUCGGGCUGUCCAUCAGUUUAAAAAACUGGUGAAGAAAGGGCCGGGCAAGACCGGUGCCAGCCGCCGCGGUAAUACCGGCGGCUCGAGUGGUGGCCACUAUUACUGGGCUUAAAGCGUUCGUAGCUGGUUUGUUAAGUCUCUGGGGAAAUCUUCCGGCUUAACCGGAAGGCGUCUCAGGGAUACUGGCAGACUAGGGACCGGAAGAGGUGAGGGGUACUUCAGGGGUAGGAGUGAAAUCCUGUAAUCCUUGAGGGACCACCUGUGGCGAAGGCGCCUCACCAGGACGGCUCCGACAGUGAGGGACGAAAGCUGGGGGAGCAAACCGGAUUAGAUACCCGGGUAGUCCCAGCCGUAAACGAUGUGCGUUAGGUGUAUCGGUGACCACGAGUCACCGAGGUGCCGAAGAGAAAUCGUGAAACGUACCGCCUGGGAAGUACGGUCGCAAGGCUGAAACUUAAAGGAAUUGGCGGGGGAGCAC